CCUACGGGGGGCACCAGUGGGGAAUUUUCCGCAAUGGGCGAAAGCCUGACGGAGCAACGCCGCGUGGAGGUAGAAGGCCCACGGGUCGUGAACUCCUUUUCCCGGAGAAGAAGCAAUGACGGUAUCUGGGGAAUAAGCAUCGGCUAACUCUGCGCCAGCAGCCGCGGUAAUACAGAGGAUGCAAGCGUUAUCCGGAAUGAUUGGGCGUAAAGCGUCUGUAGGUGGCUUUUUAAGUCCGCCGUCAAAUCCCAGGGCUCAACCCUGGACAGGCGGUGGAAACUACCAAGCUGGAGUACGGUAGGGGCAGAGGGUAUUUCCGGUGGAGCGGUGAAAUGCGUAGAGAUCGGAAAGAACACCGACGGCGAAAGCACUCUGCUGGGCCGACACUGACACUGAGAGACGAAAGCUAGGGGAGCGAAUUGGAUUAGAUACCCGUGUAGUC
rnacentral:rRNA from 1 species